GACGUAGGGCGCGAGCGUUGUCCGGAAUUACUGGGCGUAAAGGGCUCGUAGGCUGCCAACUAAGUUAGACGUGAAAUUCCUCGGCUUAAUCGGGGAACUGCGUCUGAUACUGGAUGGCUUGAGAUCGGGAGAGGGAUGCGGAAUUCCAGGUGUAGCGGUGAAAUGCGUAGAUAUCUGGAGGAACACCGGUGGCGAAGGCGGCAUCCUGGACCGACACUGACGCUGAGGAGCGAAAGCCAGGGGAGCAAACGGG
rnacentral:rRNA from 1 species